GAGCCUUGUGGGGGACUAUGUCCCAAAGCCUGUGAGGGAACAGGCUCUGGGAGCCGCUUCCAGACUGUGGACUCGAGCAACAUUGAUGGAUUUGUGAACUGCACCAAGAUCCUGGGCAACCUGGACUUUCUGAUCACCGGCCUCAAUGGGUUAGAGAUCCUGCCUUCCCUUCUUAGACCCCAGCCCACACACCCCUCACAGUUCAUUUCAUUGGCCAAAACUUUCCUAUGUGGAGCUGACUAGGAAUCAAAGUCAUAAAAUUCUAGCCUGUUACAAA
rnacentral:sRNA from 1 species